rnacentral:tRNA from 1 species
GCGCAUUUAGUGUAGUGGUAUCAUAGUACCAUCCCAUGGUACUUACUGGGGUUCAAUUCCCCGAAUGCGCA